GAUGAACGCUAGCGGCAGGCCUAACACAUGCAAGUCGAACGGUAACAGAAAAAGCUUGCUUUUUGCUGACGAGUGGCGAACGGGUGCGUAACGCGUAUGCAACCUACCUCUAACUGGGGGAUAGCCCGAAGAAAUUCGGAUUAAUACCCCAUAAAAUUUCAGAAUCGCAUGAUUCAAAGAUUAAAGCUCAGGCGGUUAGAGAUGGGCAUGCGUAACAUUAGUUUGUUGGUGAGGUAACGGCUCACCAAGACUACGAUGUUUAGGGGGUCUGAGAGGAUGAUCCCCCACACUGGUACUGAGACACGGACCAG
rnacentral:rRNA from 1 species